rnacentral:rRNA from 1 species
AAUGAACGCUGGCGGCGUGCCUAACACAUGCAAGUCGAGCGGGAGCAUGGAGAGCUUGCUCUCUGAUGGCGAGUGGCGAACGGGUGAGUAAAGCGUCGGAACGUACCGUGUAAUGGGGGAUAACGUAGCGAAAGUUACGCUAAUACCGCAUACGACCUGAGGGUGAAAGCAGGGGAUCGCAAGACCUUGCGUUAUACGAGCGGCCGAUGUCAGAUUAGCUAGUUGGUAGGGUAAAGGUCUACCAAGGCGACGAUCUGUAGCGGGUCUGAGAGGAUGAUCUGCAACACGGGGACUGAGACACGGCCCAGACUCCUACGGGAGGCAGCAGUGGGGAAUUUUGGACAAUGGGGGCAACCCUGAUUCAGCCAUGCCGCGUGAGUGAAGAAGGCCUUCGGGUUGUAAAGCUCUUUCGGCCGGGAAGAAAUCGCACAGGCUAAUACUCUGUGUGGAUGACGGUACCGGCAUAAGAAGCACCGGCUAACUACGUGCCAGCAGCCGCCGUAA